CGCAUAAGUUAGACGAGAUGAGGAACCAUCUACUAAACCUUUCUUAUUUUUAAGGUAAAGGAAUAGAAGGAUGGUGUCACAAAAUCGGGCGCACCGACUGUUUACUAAAAACACAGAUAACUGCUAAGAUGAAAAUACUUGUAUAGUUGUCGAAUUUUGCCCAAUGCCAUUAAUAUAAACGAGGUGAGUUAUUUUUACCAAGUGAAAAGUCUGGUCAAUGGCGGUCUUAACCAUAAGGAUCCAAAGGUAGCAAAAUUCAUUGUCCGCUAAAUACGGUCCUGCAUGAAUAAAGUAACGAUUGCGCCACUGUCUCUACAAGCAUCUCAGUGAAAUUGAAUUAGCCGUGAAGAUGCGGCUCGG
rnacentral:rRNA from 1 species